rnacentral:rRNA from 1 species
ACCAUAUGAGAAAGGGGACCGGCUAACUACGUGCCAGCAGCCGCGGUAAUACGUAGGUCCCGAGCGUUAUCCGGAAAUUAUUGGGCGUAAAGGGCGCGCAGGUGGCUACUUAAGUCUGGUGUGAAAUUUUUAGGCUUAACCUAAAAAGGUCAUUGGAAACUGAGUAACUUGAGAGCAGGAGAGGUAAGUGGAAUUCCUAGUGUAGCGGUGAAAUGCGUAGAGAUUAGGAGGAACACCAGUGGCGAAGGCGGCUUACUGGACUGCAUCUGACACUGAGGCGCGAAAGCGUGGGUAGCAAACAGGAUUAGAUACCCUGGUAGUCCACGCCGUAAACGAUGAGUGCUAAGUGUUGCGAGUCAAAUCGCAGUGCUGAAGUUAACGCAAUAAGCACUCCGCCUGGGGAGUACGACCGCAAGGUUGAAACUCAAACGAAUUGACGGGGACCCGCACAAGCGGUGGAGCAUGUGGUUUAAUUCGAAGCAACGCGAAGAACCUUACCAGGGUUUGACAUACCAAUGAUAUUUCUAGAGAUAGAGAGUUCCUUCGGGACAUUGGAUACAGGUGGUGCAUGGUUGUCGUCAGCUCGUGUCGUGAGAUGUUGGGUUAAGUCCCGCAACGAGCGCAACCCUUACCGUUAGUUGCCAUCAUUAAGUUGGGUACUUUAACGAGACUGCCAGUGAUAAACUGGAGGAAGGCGGGGAUGAGGUCAAAUCAUCAUGCCCCUUAUACCCUGGGCUACACACGUGCUACAAUGGUCGGUACAAAGAGAAGCGAAGCUGUGAAGUGAAGCAAACCUCAUAAAGCCGAUCUCAGUUCGGAUUGUAGUCUGCGACUCGACUACAUGAAGAUGGAAUCGCUAGUAAUCGUGGAUCAGCAUGCCACGAUGAAUACGUUCCCGGGUCUUGUACACACCGCCCGUCACACCACGAGAGUUUAUAACACCCGAAGUCAGUGGGCUAACCUCGCAAGAGGGGGCAGCUGCCUAAGGUGGGAUAGAUGAUUGGGGUG